GGAGGAAACACAAGGACAUGGGGAGGCUGUGUCCUGCAUGGACACCCUGAAGCCCUGGUGCCAGACAAGAAAGGAACUGCUACACCCUGGGCAAGGCCAAGGGCUGGAGGAAGUCACCUUGCUGGAGAAGAGUGAGGCCAGCACAAGCCAAGCUCCCCUAAGGGCUCUCACUCCAGCCAGCUGAUGCAGGCCCUUCCCAAAGCAAGUACUUGACUUCCCAACUCCCAUUUUCUCCUGCUGGAGGGAGCACUCAUUUCAAAGGAGUUCCUAUAUUAAGCAAACCUUGCAGGGGAAGGAUAUUGAACCUGUAACCCAGCCAGACCACGACCCUUGAGCUACCACACAGACCUCAACCACAUAAACUGGAAGGGUAACCACUAUGGCACAAGAUUUUAGGCCAAAACCAAGAUGUGGUGAUGGCAAUUUAAUUUUUCUAGAGGCUCAGAUGCAAAAGUAUCAGAGGCUGAAGGCAACUGCUGAGAGGCUCUGCCUGGGAAUGGGGCUGGCAGGGCUCCUCUUCCCCCCUGCAUGUGCUUGGAGUGGGAAUUGUUUAUAAUCACAGACUGAGACAAAAAGAUGAGGUCUGGAAUCAUCUUUGAGCAUUUUAUUUUGCACAACCCAAAUGUGGGUUGGGUUUUGGUGUUUUUUUUUUUUUUUUUUUUGUGAGUUGUUUUGUUUUUUUUUUUUUUUUUUUGGUUUGUUGUUGUUGUUUUUGUUAUGUUUUAAUAAAAUGCCACUCGGAAUAAAAAGUUGUCUGGAAAACACCAGCUCCACUAGUGCCAAAACUGCCCGCCCUCUGUGCUGGUGCAUGAAAUGUGUUGGAAAAUAUUUUUAUUGGCUGAUGGAGCUUCUCAGAGCCUGGUUCUUCUCUCUCAACACGAGCCCUCAAUCAGCCACAAACACCGCAGGGCACCCCAGCAGGGCACUCCAGCAGAGCCUCCCUUGCGCAGGGUCCGUGCCAGGACCUCAUCCCAGCUCAGCCUUUGCCAUGAAUUUGACUUUUAGCGAAAGUCAGGGGGGCAAGGCCGCAUUACGAGUGAGGACUCGCGGCUGGUUCCGAGUUACUGAGUAAUCCCAGCCGGUCAUAAAUUAAACCGCUUUACCCCCCGCGAGUGCUCGCGGCUUCUGUUCCUCCUGCUCGGGGCAUGCGGGAACGCGGCGGGGCCAGCGGAGCGCGAAGGGGGGAGAGGACUCGACAGGGAGCUCCGGGCUGGGGACAGGCUCACUCCAAAGGAAUGGGGGGUGCUGCAGCACACCCUGGUGUGGUAUGGGCUUGAAUCUGGGGAUGCUGCAAUUCCUCUGGAUACCCUGGGAACACAGACAAGGCACUGCUGUAACUACCAAGAGCUGCUCUGCAUGUGGGCUGAGCAUCUCCUGCAGAGCCCCCAGCCAGGAGUUUGAAUUCUCACAAAUUAACCCCUCCAGCCCUGCUCCAGAAUGAGCUGGCACAUUCCCAGCUGCUUUCACUGACCAGCUGCCGUCUGGGGGGCUGUGUCACAGAAAUGGUUGGACUGGGGGGAAAGCAUGAGAUGUUUGGCCUGAAAUAUGGAUUUAUCUCUGGAAUUAAACCUUGAAAUGCCCCAAUUA